rnacentral:rRNA from 1 species
UCUCGGCAAAUUAUCCUCAUAAGUUCGACAAGAAGAGGAACCAUGAAUUUUAGUAAUUUAAUAUCUCCUAUUAAAUUUAUUUAUAUGGUGGCACAAAAUCGGAAGCCCCGACUGUUUACUAAAAACACAACUAUCUGCAAUUAUCAAAAAUAAUAGUAUAGGUAGUGAGAUUUGCCCAAUGCCAUCUCAAUAAGUAAUAAUAAUGGGUAACUGUUUCUUUACAAAAAAUUGGUUAAUAGCGGUCUUAACUAUGAGGAUCCUAAGGUAGCAAAAUAAAUUGGCCAUUAAAUGUGGUCCGGUAUCAAUAAUUUAACGAUGGCUUCACUGUCUCUACAACUUGCUCAGUGAAAUUGAAUUACCCGUGCAGAUGCGGUUACCUCAAAGAGGACGGGAAGACCCUAUGCAGCUUCUACUGA